UCUUGGUCCAAUUAGAGGAAGUAAAAGUCGUAACAAGGUCUCCGUUGGUGAACCAGCGGAGGGAUCAUUACUGAGUUUACGCUCUAUAACCCUUUGUGAACAUACCUAUAACUGUUGCUUCGGCGGGUAGGGUCUCCGUGACCCUCCCGGCCUCCCGCCCCCGGGCGGGUCGGCGCCCGCCGGAGGAUAACCAAACUCUGAUUUAACGACGUUUCUUCUGAGUGGUACAAGCAAAUAAUCAAAACUUUUAACAACGGAUCUCUUGGUUCUGGCAUCGAUGAAGAACGCAGCGAAAUGCGAUAAGUAAUGUGAAUUGCAGAAUUCAGUGAAUCAUCGAAUCUUUGAACGCACAUUGCGCCCGCCAGCAUUCUGGCGGGCAUGCCUGUUCGAGCGUCAUUUCAACCCUCAAGCUCUGCUUGGUGUUGGGGCCCUACAGCUGAUGUAGGCCCUCAAAGGUAGUGGCGGACCCUCCCGGAGCCUCCUUUGCGUAGUAACUUUACGUCUCGCACUGGGAUCCGGAGGGACUCUUGCCGUAAAACCCCCAAUUUUCCAAAGGUUGACCUCGGAUCAGGUAGGAAUACCCGCUGAACUUAAGCAUAUCAAAGGCCGGGAGGGAAA
rnacentral:rRNA from 1 species